rnacentral:lncRNA from 1 species
UGUUCAGUGCAUGCCAAGAAUGGAAUAAUCAGAUUACUUAAAAAUAUAUAAAAUUAAUCUCAGCCAGCAUAUUGGAAUUUUACCCAAAGUCUAAUAGUUUUGAAUAAGUGCUUUCCAAACCAAUAAAAAUGCCAGUUUUCUUCACAGAGCUCCUCCCCUCUCUUUAGUUCAUAGUGAAGUGGUAGCAUGAUGGGUGGCUGCUGCAAAGGCUCCUCUUUGUUCCACUGCACCAGCUCCACACAUGGCAGGUGUGGGAUAUCACCAGGAGCAAGGAGACUUCUGUAAAAUUAAGGAAAAGAAGAGAUACUAUAUUAAAAAGCCCCAAAGGCACCAGCAGAUGCUGUUUUUUCUUUCUUUUCCCAUUGAUAACAUGGUUCAAAGGCUGCUGAAAUAAAUGGAAAGCCUUUCUCUAUAUCAGUGAUUUUGAACAUCAUUUGUGAAAAACCAUCAUGCAUCAUCUCAAGUGUCCCUUCUCAAGGAAAGCAAGUAAAAAAGCUGUGCUGUAUCUUGGCUGACUCUCAUGAAUGAAAGCAUCAAUAUUUGUGCUUUAUUUCAGAGAGACUGAACAGCAGCAGACCUUUCAAGAGGUCUCAGAAGACCCUACUACAUUGUGGAGCUAGAGUUAUGUUAAGACAGAGAGAACUGCGUUAAAAUGAAGACCAAAAGGCUGAGGAUGGGCAUCACUGGAAAGGCCAUGGGGUAGAGUAUCAAGAAAGAUCAGACAGAGGGAUGACCUGGCUCAUUCAGAAGGAAUGGGUGUAAUCUGGAGCACAAUUCCCUCUCUGUGCUACUUCCCUGGGAUCGGCCACUAGUGAGAUAAUUGUCUUUUAUUAUGCAGUUCUCCACAGAACACACUGCAGACACACAUCUGAGGAUCUUUUUUUCUCACAGAAUACACCAGAGCUGGAUGCUCGAGAAGAGAAGGUGCUAAAGGUUGACUUCAAUGGGAAUGCUCCCUGGCGAAGGUUGGUUGGUUGUUUUCAUCUGACUUCUCUGCUCAGAAAUUAUGAACCUGAUUUUGCCCGUGUCUGUCACCAUCUGGCACAAUGCAUCUUCUUGCUAAGGUGAAGAAUUUCUGUGCUUGACAUAAACAUUUCUGAGGAAGUGUGCUCUUGUAUGAAGAAUGGCCCUAAAUGUGAGUGAUUUCAACUCUUAACUUUUGCCAUGCAUUCUCCUCCUCCAACACACUGUUUUGUGAUUACUUCAGU